GGGCGUGUGGUCUAGUGGUAUGAUUCUCGCUUUGGGUGGAAAUUACCUAGGUAAUCAACACAAGCAUGCGAGAGGCCCUGGGUUCAAUUCCCAGCUCGCCCC